rnacentral:rRNA from 1 species
CCUACGGGCGACAGCAGUGAGGAAUAUUGGUCAAUGGACGCAAGUCUGAACCAGCCAUGCCGCGUGCAGGAAGACGGCUCUAUGAGUUGUAAACUGCUUUUAUACGGGAAUAACGCGCCUUACGUGUAGGGCUUUGCAUGUACCGUAUGAAUAAGGACCGGCUAAUUCCGUGCCAGCAGCCGCGGUAAUACGGAAGGUCCGGGCGUUAUCCGGAUUUAUUGGGUUUAAAGGGAGCGUAGGCCGCAUGUCAAGCGUGCUGUGAAAUGUCCGGGCUCAACCCGGGCCUUGCAGCGCGAACUGGCGUGCUUGAGUCCGCGGAAAGCAGGCGGAAUUCGUCGUGUAGCGGUGAAAUGCUUAGAUAUGACGAAGAACCCCGAUUGCGAAGGCAGCUUGCUGCAGCGGAACUGACGCUGAUGCUCGAAAGCGCGGGUAUCGAACAGGAUUAGAUACCCUUGUAGUC